rnacentral:rRNA from 1 species
AGUUAAAAAGCUCGUAGUUGGAUUUCUGUGGGGACGGAGCGGCCGGCCGCUACUAGCGGUUCGAGCUAGCGCUUUCCCUACAUCCUGCCGCGAACCGCGCUACCAUUAGUUUGGUGGCGCCGGGGAUCGCUCGUUUACUUUGAGAAAAAUAGAGUGUUCAAAGCAGGCCACACGCCUUGAAUAAAUUAGCAUGGAAUAAUAACUAAGGACUUCGGUUCUAUUUUGUUGGUGUUCGGGACUGAAGUAAUGAUUGAUAGGGACAGUUGGGGCGGUCCGUAUUCCAAAGCGAGAGGUGAAAUUCUUAGACCUUCGGAAGACGAACAGCUGCGAAAGCGUUCCGCAAGGAUGUUCCCUUUGAUCAAGAACGAAAGUUGGGGGAUCGAAGACGAUCA